rnacentral:rRNA from 1 species
UGCAAGUCGAGCGGACAGAUGGGAGCUUGCUCCCUGAUGUUAGCGGCGGACGGGUGAGUAACACGUGGGUAACCUGCCUGUAAGACUGGGAUAACUCCGGGAAACCGGGGCUAAUACCGGAUGCUUGUUUGAACCGCAUGGUUCAGACAUAAAAGGUGGCUUCGGCUACCACUUACAGAUGGACCCGCGGCGCAUUAGCUAGUUGGUGAGGUAACGGCUCACCAAGGCGACGAUGCGUAGCCGACCUGAGAGGGUGAUCGGCCACACUGGGACUGAGACACGGCCCAGACUCCUACGGGAGGCAGCAGUAGGGAAUCUUCCGCAAUGGACGAAAGUCUGACGGAGCAACGCCGCGUGAGUGAUGAAGGUUUUCGGAUCGUAAAGCUCUGUUGUUAGGGAAGAACAAGUGCCGUUCAAAUAGGGCGGCACCUUGACGGUACCUAACCAGAAAGCCACGGCUAACUACGUGCCAGCAGCCGCGGUAAUACGUAGGUGGCAAGCGUUGUCCGGAAUUAUUGGGCGUAAAGGGCUCGCAGGCGGUUUCUUAAGUCUGAUGUGAAAGCCCCCGGCUCAACCGGGGAGGGUCAUUGGAAACUGGGGAACUUGAGUGCAGAAGAGGAGAGUGGAAUUCCACGUGUAGCGGUGAAAUGCGUAGAGAUGUGGAGGAACACCAGUGGCGAAGGCGACUCUCUGGUCUGUAACUGACGCUGAGGAGCGAAAGCGUGGGGAGCGAACAGGAUUAGAUACCCUGGUAGUCCACGCCGU